GAGAAAGACUGCAAGAACUGCUAAUUCAUGCUUCCAUACUUAAACGUAUGGCUUUUUCA
rnacentral:tRNA from 1 species